UACGGAGGAUGCAAGCGUUAUCCGGAAUUAUUGGGCGUAAAGCGUCCGCAGGUGGAACUGCAAGUCUGCUGUCAAAGACCGUAGCUUAACUACGGAAAGGCAGUGGAAACUGAAGAACUAGAGGCCAGUAGGGGUAGCGGGAAUUCCCAGUGUAGCGGUGAAAUGCGUAGAGAUUGGGAAGAACAUCGGUGGCGAAAGCGCGCUACUGGGCUGGGCCUGACACUGAGGGACGAAAGCUAGGGGAGCGAAA
rnacentral:rRNA from 1 species